UUUCUGGCUCAGGAUGAACGCAAGCUACAGGCUUAACACAUGCAAGUCGAGGGGAAGCGAUAGAGAAAGCUUGCUUUCUCUGGGCGUCGACCGGCGCACGGGUGAGUAACGCGUAUCCAACCUGCCCAUCACUUGGGGAUAACCUUGCGAAAGUAAGACUAAUACCCAAUGACGUCCAUAGAAGACAUCUGAAAUGGAUUAAAGAUUUAUCGGUGAUGGAUGGGGAUGUGUCUGAUUAGCUUGUUGGCGGGGUAACGGCCCACCAAGGCGACGAUCAGUAGGGGUUCUGAGAGGAAGGUCCCCCACAUUGGAACUGAGACACGGUCCAAACUCCUACGGGAGGCAGCAGUGAGGAAUAUUGGUCAAUGGGCGAGAGCCUGAACCAGCCAAGUAGCGUGCAGGAUGACGGCCCUAUGGGUUGUAAACUGCUUUUAUAAGGGAAUAAAGUGAGUCUCGUGAGACUUUUUGCAUGUACCUUAUGAAUAAGGACCGGCUAAUUCCGUGCCAGCAGCCGCGGUAAUACGGAAGGUCCGGGCGUUAUCCGGAUUUAUUGGGUUUAAAGGGAGCGUAGGCCGGAGAUUAAGCGUGUUGUGAAAUGUAGAUGCUCAGCGUCUGCACUGCAGCGCGAACUGGUUUCCUUGAGUACGCACAAAGUGGGCGGAAUUCGUGGUGUAGCGGUGAAAUGCUUAGAUAUCACGAAGAACUCCGAUUGCGAAGGCAGCUCACUGGGGCGCAACUGACGCUGAAGCUCGAAAGUGCGGGUAUCGAACAGGAUUAGAUACCCUGGUAGUCCGCACGGUAAACGAUGGAUGCCCGCUGUUGGUCUGAAUAGGUCAGCGGCCAAGCGAAAGCAUUAAGCAUCCCACCUGGGGAGUACGCCGGCAGCGGUGCAACUCAAAUGAAUUGACGG
rnacentral:rRNA from 2 species